UACGUAGGGGGCUAGCGUUGUCCGGAAUCAUUGGGCGUAAAGCGCGCGUAGGCGGUCAGGUAAGUCCGGUGUGAAAGUCAAAGGCUCAACCUUUGAAUGCCGCUGGAUACUGCUUGACUUGAGUCCGGAAGGGGCGAGUGGAAUUCCUGGUGUAGCGGUGAAAUGCGCAGAUAUCAGGAGGAACACCAAUGGCGAAGGCAGCUCGCUGGGACGUGACUGACGCUGAGACGCGAAAGCGUGGGGAGCAAACAGG
rnacentral:rRNA from 1 species